CGUGCAGGCGGGCUGACAAGUCGGAUGUGAAAUUCCCGGGCUUAACUCGGGCGGGUCAUCUGAAACUGUUGGUCUUGAGUACUGGAGAGGAUAGUGGAAUUCCUAGUGUAGCGGUAAAAUGCGUAGAUAUUAGGAGGAACACCAGUGGCGAAGGCGGCUAUCUGGACAGUAACUGACGCUGAGGCGCGAAAGCGUGGGGAGCAAACA
rnacentral:rRNA from 1 species